UACAGAGGUGGCAAGCGUUGUUCGGAAUUACUGGGCGUAAAGGGCGCGUAGGCGGUCUUGUAAGUCCCGUGUGAAAUCCCCCGGCUCAACUGGGGAACGGCACGGGAGACUGCGAGGCUUGAGUUCGGGAGAGGGAAGCGGAAUUCCGGGUGUAGCGGUGAAAUGCGUAGAUAUCCGGAGGAACACCGGUGGCGAAGGCGGCUUCCUGGACCGACACUGACGCUAAGGCGCGAAAGCUAGGGGAGCAAACGGG
rnacentral:rRNA from 1 species